AUUGAACGCUGGCGGCAUGCUUUUCACAUGCAAGUCGAACGGUAACAGGCCGCAAGGUGCUGACGAGUGGCGAACGGGUGAGUAAUGCAUCGGAACGUGCCCAGUCGUGGGGGAUAACGCAGCGAAAGCUGCGCUAAUACCGCAUACGAUCUAUGGAUGAAAGCGGGGGACCGUAAGGCCUCGCGCGAUUGGAGCGGCCGAUGUCAGAUUAGGUAGUUGGUGAGGUAAAGGCUCACCAAGCCAACGAUCCGUAGCUGGUCUGAGAGGACGACCAGCCACACUGGGACUGAGACACGGCCCAGACUCCUACGGGAGGCAGCAGUGGGGAAUUUUGGACAAUGGGCGCAAGCCUGAUCCAGCAAUGCCGCGUGCAGGAAGAAGGCCUUCGGGUUGUAAACUGCUUUUGUACGGAACGAAACGGUCCGGGUUAAUACCCUGGGCUAAUGACGGUACCGUAAGAAUAAGCACCGGCUAACUACGUGCCAGCCGCCGCCGUAA
rnacentral:rRNA from 1 species